AUUUUCAAAAAAGUUUGUUAAGAACUUUUCAAGCAUCUCUAUGUAAUCAAGUUGCAUACCCCAAAUGCUUCCCAAACUUUUCAACAAGCUUCAAUGAUGUUGGUUACUGUUUAAGGCUGAGAAUCAAAACAGAUGACACGUCGAUGAAAAAAGACAUGCAAGCCAAAUCCUAUAAACCAAGCACUAUGCCAUUUUCUGCAUCAGGCAACGCCAUCAGCGACACAAACGGCCGCCGACCAAACGAAGACCACAGCCGAAUCCCCUCUCUACCCUCGUCAGGACCGUCUCUCCUUCUUUUUCUCUCCUUCUCUCGACUCUUCCUGAAACCCAGAGAAAACGACGUCGACCUCCGACGCCGUCCUCGCCAUCCGGCCACCAAUCAAGCCAUCUUGACUUCGCCGAGGUCCCUCUGGCCUUAGUUUUUCCGAUCGGCAGCUAUGGGAAGAGAAACGGAGGCAAGAAGCUUCUGCUCCUCCGUUGAUUUCGGUGUUUUCUAGCGACUUCUCCUGGUAUGGUUUCCUUCCUCUCGUCGUCCUCACCAUUCUAGGGUAUUCAAAUUUCAGUUUAGCUUGGAGUUUAACGAAUUUGUUUUUUUGGGGAUUUUUGGUUGUUCCCUGCCCUUGACGGAAUUCGUCACCGCCGGCGUUCUCUCUUUCUCCCGACGACCUGAGUCAACUCCAGAGAUGUUGGACCAUGGUUGGAAUCGACUUCAUGGCUGCUGAGCUGAGUUAGGCAGAUAGCGUCGAUUUGGGGUUUUCUAGCGAAGGACCUCUGUUUGUUUUUGGCUAACAACUAAAUCGAUUCAUGAAUAUGGUGAUUUGUGGUGAAAAAAAGAAAGAAGCUAAUGAUUCAAGCUCACGGUUUUCUUCGCUAAUGUAGCUAGUUUCCCGGCUUUCGUUUGAUAUAAGGGGACUCCAGUUACCUAGGAGUUGAAUGCUUGAGAUUCUCGGAGUUCGUGAGGAAAGCCUCGGAUUCCAGGUGAAUGUUCUUGGAACUUCUAGACUGUAAAUGUCAGGAUCAUAUGAUAAGCAAAGAGCUUAGCGACUGAGGUUCAGGGUCAGGAUCUUGUUAUUGCAAAUAUUGAGGACUCUAGAGUUGUGAUAGGUACUAGAGAUGAAAAUUGUUCUCUCGUUGGAGUUCAAUUAACUGUACGUAGACUUAAAACCAAGAAGGGUUUUUGAGCUGUCUGAUGACUCACAUAGACAAGGCAUCAGACUAUUUGGGUGGUAAUAUAUAUAAGCAACUCCAGUCUAUUUGAUUGUUAAGAAACUUUGGUUUAGUUGGUUGCACUUAGUUGCUUUUGUCUACAUAUUAUGUGCUAAAGAAACUAAUUAGUAGAAACACUUGACAAUUACUGCUGUGUUAUCAUGUUGGAUUGCAUAUGAGGCAGUUGAACAUAAUGAUGGUGCUUUUUGUUAAUCUCUUAUGGCCUAGCUAGGUUUGUGUACGGUUUAUAUAUGGUGGAUUGAAAGUCUACGUACGUUAUCAAUUUGGAUGUUGAAUUCUUAUUUUAAUUAGUUAUGGAUGCUUAUUUUAUUU